GACGAACGCUGGCGGCGUGCUUAACACAUGCAAGUCGAACGAGAGCGUAGAGAAAGCUUGCUUUUUCUACAAUCUAGUGGCAAACGGGUGAGUAACGCGUAAACAACCUGCCCUACGGAUGGGGACAACAGCUGGAAACGGCUGCUAAUACCGAAUACGUUCCGAAAGUCGCAUGACUAUCGGAAGAAAGGUUGCCCUCUAUUUUUAACCUAUCGCCGGGGGAGGGGUUUGGUUUUGAUUAGCUAGUUGGAGGGGUAACGGCCCACCAAGGCGACGAUCAGUAGCCGGUCUGAGAGGAUGAACGGCCAAAUUGGAACUGAGACACGGUCCAGACUCCUACGGGAGGCAGCAGUGGGGAAUCUUCCGCAAUGGGCGAAAGCCUGACGGAGCAACGCCGCGUGAGUGAAGACGGCCUUCGGGUUGUAAAGCUCUGUUAUACGGGACGAAUAAUCUUGUGGUUAAUACCCAUGAGAAGUGACGGUACCGUAAGAGAAAGCCACGGCUAACUACGUG
rnacentral:rRNA from 1 species